rnacentral:rRNA from 1 species
UAGGGAAUCUUGCGCAAUGGGCGAAAGCCUGACGCAGCCAUGCCGCGUGAAUGAUGAAGGUCUUAGGAUUGUAAAAUUCUUUCACCGGGGAAGAUAAUGACGGUACCCGGAGAAGAAGCCCCGGCUAACUUCGUGCCAGCAGCCGCGGUAAUACGAAGGGGGCUAGCGUUGCUCGGAAUUACUGGGCGUAAAGGGCGCGUAGGCGGAUAUUUAAGUCGGGGGUGAAAGCCCAGGGCUCAACCCUGGAAUUGCCUUCGAUACUGGAUAUCUUGAGUUCGGGAGAGGUGAGUGGAAUGCCGAGUGUAGAGGUGAAAUUCGUAGAUAUUCGGCGGAACACCAGUGGCGAAGGCGACUCACUGGCCCGAUACUGACGCUGAGGCGCGAAAGCGUGGGGAGCAAACA